ACAUGCAAGAUCGAACGAUGAUGCCCAGCUUGCUGGGCGGAUUAGUGGCGAACGGGUGAGUAAUACGUGAGUAACCUGCCCUUGACUCUGGGAUAAGCCUGGGAAACUGGGUCUAAUACUGGAUACUACCUCUUACCGCAUGGUGGGUGGUGGAAAGGGUUUUACUGGUUUUGGAUGGGCUCACGGCCUAUCAGCUUGUUGGUGGGGUAAUGGCUCACCAAGGCGACGACGGGUAGCCGGCCUGAGAGGGUGACCGGCCACACUGGGACUGAGACACGGCCCAGACUCCUACGGGAGGCAGCAGUGGGGAAUAUUGCACAAUGGGCGGAAGCCUGAUGCAGCGACGCCGCGUGAGGGAUGACGGCCUUCGGGUUGUAAACCUCUUUCAGUAGGGAAGAAGCGAGAGUGACGGUACCUGCAGAAGAAGCGCCGGCUAACUACGUGCCAGCAGCCGCGGUAAUACGUAGGGCGCAAGCGUUGUCCGGAAUUAUUGGGCGUAAAGAGCUCGUAGGCGGUUUGUCGCGUCUGCUGUGAAAGCCCGGGGCUCAACCCCGGGUCUGCAGUGGGUACGGGCAGACUAGAGUGCAGUAGGGGAGACUGGAAUUCCUGGUGUAGCGGUGAAAUGCGCAGAUAUCAGGAGGAACACCGAUGGCGAAGGCAGGUCUCUGGGCUGUUACUGACGCUGAGGAGCGAAAGCAUGGGGAGCGAACAGGAUUAGAUACCCUGGUAGUCCAUGCCGUAAACGUUGGGCACUAGGUGUGGGGGACAUUCCACGUUUUCCGC
rnacentral:rRNA from 1 species